GCUCAGAUUGAACGCUAGCGGGAUGCCUUACACAUGCAAGUCGAACGGCAGCACGGACUUCGGUCUGGUGGCGAGUGGCGAACGGGUGAGUAAUGUAUCGGAACGUGCCUAGUAGCGGGGGAUAACUACGCGAAAGCGUAGCUAAUACCGCAUACGCCCUACGGGGGAAAGCAGGGGAUCGCAAGACCUUGCACUAUUAGAGCGGCCGAUAUCGGAUUAGCUAGUUGGUGGGGUAACGGCUCACCAAGGCGACGAUCCGUAGCUGGUUUGAGAGGACGACCAGCCACACUGGGACUGAGACACGGCCCAGACUCCUACGGGAGGCAGCAGUGGGGAAUUUUGGACAAUGGGGGAAACCCUGAUCCAGCCAUCCCGCGUGUGCGAUGAAGGCCUUCGGGUUGUAAAGCACUUUUGGCAGGAAAGAAACGUCGUGGGUUAAUACCCCGCGAAACUGACGGUACCUGCAGAAUAAGCACCGGCUAACUACGUGCCAGCAGCCGCGGUAAUACGUAGGGUGCAAGCGUUAAUCGGAAUUACUGGGCGUAAAGCGUGCGCAGGCGGUUCGGAAAGAAAGAUGUGAAAUCCCAGAGCUUAACUUUGGAACUGCAUUUUUAACUACCGAGCUAGAGUGUGUCAGAGGGAGGUGGAAUUCCGCGUGUAGCAGUGAAAUGCGUAGAUAUGCGGAGGAACACCGAUGGCGAAGGCAGCCUCCUGGGAUAACACUGACG
rnacentral:rRNA from 1 species